rnacentral:rRNA from 1 species
UACGGGGGGGGCAAACGUUGUUCGGAAUUACUGGGCGUAAAGCGCGUGUAGGCGGCUAUGUAAGUCGGGCGUGAAAUCCCACGGCUCAACCGUGGAAGUGCACCCGAAACUGCGUAGCUAGAGUCCUGGAGAGGAAGGUGGAAUGCUUGGUGUAGAGGUGAAAUUCGUAGAUAUCAAGCGGAACACCGGUGGCGAAGGCGGCCUUCUGGACAGUGACUGACGCUGAGACGCGAAAGCGUGGGGAGCAAACAGG